AACAACCUCAUCAACCGGAAGGAAUCCCUUCCGGUUGAUGAGGUGUAACAGCCCAUCGACCGGAAGGGAUUCCUUCCGGUUGAUGGUGUUGUU
rnacentral:miRNA from 1 species